rnacentral:tRNA from 1 species
AGGGAUAUAGCUCAGUUGGUAGAGUGCUUGCCUCAUAUGCACAAGGCCCUGGGUUCAAUCCCCAGCACCACAA